rnacentral:tRNA from 1 species
GCCCCGUUCGUCUAACGGUUUAGGACAACGGACUUUCGAUCCGUAAAUAGGGGUUCGAUUCCCCUACGGGGUG